rnacentral:rRNA from 2 species
UGCAGUCGAGCGGAUCUUUGGGAGCUUGCUCCCAAAGAUUAGCGGCGGACGGGUGAGUAACACGUGGGCAAUCUGCCUGUAAGACUGGGAUAACUUCGGGAAACCGGAGCUAAUACCGGAUAAUAUUGAGAACCGCAUGGUUCUCUAUUAAAAGAUGGUUUCGGCUAUCACUUACAGAUGAGCCCGCGGCGCAUUAGCUAGUUGGUGAGGUAAUGGCUCACCAAGGCAACGAUGCGUAGCCGACCUGAGAGGGUGAUCGGCCACACUGGGACUGAGACACGGCCCAGACUCCUACGGGAGGCAGCAGUAGGGAAUCUUCCGCAAUGGACGAAAGUCUGACGGAGCAACGCCGCGUGAACGAUGAAGGCCUUCGGGUCGUAAAGUUCUGUUGUUAAGGAAGAACAAGUACGAGAGUAACUGCUCGUACCUUGACGGUACUUAACCAGAAAGCCACGGCUAACUACGUGCCAGCAGCCGCGGUAAUACGUAGGUGGCAAGCGUUAUCCGGAAUUAUUGGGCGUAAAGCGCUCGCAGGCGGUCCUUUAAGUCUGAUGUGAAAGCCCACGGCUCAACCGUGGAGGGUCAUUGGAAACUGGGGGACUUGAGUGCAGAAGAGGAGAGUGGAAUUCCACGUGUAGCGGUGAAAUGCGUAGAGAUGUGGAGGAACACCAGUGGCGAAGGCGACUCUCUGGUCUGUAACUGACGCUGAGGAGCGAAAGCGUGGGGAGCGAACAGGAUUAGAUA